UACGUAGGGUGCAAGCGUUGUCCGGAAUUAUUGGGCGUAAAGAGCUCGUAGGCGGUUCGUCGCGUCGGCUGUGAAAACCUGAGGCUCAACCUCAGGCCUGCAGUCGAUACGGGCGGACUUGAGUACUGCAGGGGAGACUGGAAUUCCUGGUGUAGCGGUGAAAUGCGCAGAUAUCAGGAGGAACACCGAUGGCGAAAGGCAGAUCUCUGGGCCGUAACUGACG
rnacentral:rRNA from 1 species